rnacentral:rRNA from 1 species
AUUGAACGCUGGCGGCAGGCCUUACACAUGCAAGUCGGACGAGUGGCGGACGGGUGAGUAACGUCUGGGAAACUGCCUGGUGGUGGGGGAUAACUGCUGGAAAGGGUAGCUAAUACCGCAUACUAUCAGAUGGGCCGAGAUGGGAGUAGCUGGUUGGUGGGGUAACGGCUCACCAAGGCGACGAUCCGUAGCUGGUCUGAGAGGAUGACCAGCCACACUGGAACUGAGACACGGUCCAGACUCCUACGGGAGGCAGCAGUGGGGAAUAUUGGACAAUGGGCGCAAGCCUGAUGCAGCCAUGCCGCGUGUAUGAAGAAGGCCUUCGGGUUGUAAAGGACUUUCAUCGGGGAGGCGGUACCUGAAGAAUAAGCACCGGCUAACUCCGUGCCAGCAGCCGCGGUAAUAC